rnacentral:rRNA from 1 species
CCUACGGGGGGCAGCAGUCGAGAAUCAUUCACAAUGGGGGAAACCCUGAUGGUGCGACGCCGCGUGGGGGAAUGAAGGUCUUCGGAUUUUAAACCCCUGUCUUGUGGGAGCAAAGUAAAAAGAUAGUACCACAAGAGGACGAGACGGCUAACUCUGUGCCAGCAGCCGCGGGAAUACAGAGGUCUCAAGCGUGGUUCGGAAUCACGGGCGGUAAAGCGUGCGUAGGCUGUUUCGUAAGUCGUGUGUGAAAGGCGCGGGCUCAACCCGCGGACGGCACAUGAGACUGCGAGACUAGAGUAAUGGAGGGGGAACCGGAAUUCUCGGUGUAGCAGUGAAAUGCGUAGAUAUCGGGAGGAACACUCGUGGCGAAGGCGGGUUCCUGGACAUUAACUGACGCUGAGGCACGAAGGCCAGGGGAGCGAAAGGGAUUAGAUACCCGUGUAGUC